UCCGAUAAGGGCAAACCAGUCGUGAGGCUGGGACGCAAAGCCACGGGUCAGGCCGGGGAUGGCUGACAGCCGGGCUGCCGAAG
rfam:Candidatus Rokubacteria bacterium 13_1_40CM_2_70_45 13_1_40cm_2_scaffold_8309, whole genome shotgun sequence.